rnacentral:rRNA from 1 species
UACAGGGGGUGCAAACGUUGCUCGGAAUCAUUGGGCGUAAAGCGCACGUAGGCGGUUCGUUAUGUCGGAUGUGAAAGCCCUUGGCUUAACCGAGGAAGUGCAUCCGAAACUGGCGAGCUAGAGUACGAAAGAGGAUCGCGGAAUUCCCGGUGUAGAGGUGAAAUUCGUAGAUAUCGGGAGGAACACCGGUGGCGAAGGCGGUUCUCUGGGCCUUACCUGACGCUGAGGAGCGAAAGCGUGGGGAGCGAACAGG